rnacentral:lncRNA from 1 species
UGCGCUAUAACCAGCUACUCACAUUCGAUUUACAACAUUAUGCCCAUUAAAUUAAUUCACAAUCAUACAGACCCAUCAAGGGAUCCAAUAAACAGAGAGAAAGUUCAACGACAACACACGCACAGCCUUAAUCAUAAACCAUAUGAAAGGUAUAUUCUAUUGAUUCCAUGGUCGAUGAAGAGCCUGACGAAAUCUUUGACAAAGAGGGAAACGGUGAAAGAAUUAAUCAAAAGUGAAUAGUUUCAGCAUAUGGUAAGAAUCUCUGAACCAGUUCUAGUUAUCAGAAUUGUAUGUUCAAACUGUGCGGCUACACCACCAUCAGCUGUUAGAGUAGUCCAGUUGUCCGGCCAUGUUACACAUUCCGUGGUUCCAAUCGUUAGAAUCGGUUCUGCAACGCCAAAUAACACCCAUCAUCAACUUGUUAUUACUAUACAGUAAUCAUUGUAAGCAAAUGAAAAACCAUGACAUGGAAGAGCAACAAACCGAUUGUGAAAGUUUGUCCCUCAACCAUAUGCCCUGGCUCAUCAUUUCCUGCAAAUUGAAUAGAAAGAUUAUCCCCCAAAGUCGAGUUACUAACAACAACACUUAACAAAGAACAAAGCUGAAGCGUUUUCCUGAACAAGCAAAGCUAAGAAAGGUGUUAUUUACGGUAAUGAUAAAUCAAAGGUUCAGAGUGAAACACUGGUCCAACACCAUGCCCAACAAAUCGCUCCACAACGUUGUAGCCGCACUUCUCUGCAUGCUCACUGUUUUGAAAUGUUGAACCAUCAAAACCAAUACCCUUCUCUCUCUGCACGGUAAUAUCUUUCAUCAAGAAUGAUUAUAGACUUAUAGUUAAUAGUUACCUGAUUGUCUUGCCGAUUUUCUUGAAGCUUGCUCCAUCUUUACACACGGCUAUACCAUUCUCCAAGCAUUCCUCCGUAACCUUAACAAAAAAUAAAACCAAGCAACAAUUAGCAUUACGAACCAGAAUCCACUAUUCUGAACUUCAAAGACACACAACACAGUGGAACAAAGAAGAAAACUACCUUCACAAGUCGUUUAAAACCUUCGUCAACCUCUCCACAGAAGAAAGUUCUUGAUGUAUCUCCAUGGUAACCCUGUUCCAGUUUCAAAUCCCCAAAAACAGGUGUUACUACGAUUCCAUCUUUAAGCAUACAAAAGUGCCAUAGAGAUUAGUGACUUACAUCCAAGUAAACCGUGACAUCAAUGUUAAUUAUAUCCCCACUCUACAACAAUAAGAAGUAAUAGUUAGCGAGAGUUCAUUCAUUCACAAACUCUUCAGCUUAAAAGCAAGAUCCAAACCUGGAGCUGGCGAGAAUCCGGUGAUCUUUUCGUUUCUCUUAUUCUGCAGAUCAAACAUGCGCCGAGCUAACAAAUACAUGCAUGGCUCAUCCUAUAAAUACAGGAAGACUAGCUUUUCCAAACCACAAAUCAAAAAAACCCGACUCCUCUUAGGUAAUCUCUGUUACAUUUUGUCCAUUUUACAAAUAGAUCUGUUUUCAUCUGAUCUUUUGUUUCUCUUAUUCUGCAGAUCAAACAUAGCUUCUGAAAUUCUGCUUAAGGUAUUUUUCUAUCUCCAUUGUUUGAUCCAAUCCAUAUUUUAUAUUCUUUGAUUGAUAUACCAAAUUCGAAUUAAAUGGCUGUUUCCUCUUUUUGCCCGUAGGAAUGUUGAGCAAAGAGAUGCAUUUCUCGUGGAGACUGGUGGUUCCAUGUUUGCUCCGUGAUAUCAUGACCCAGGGUAAUGAUAUCUGUUGGGCAAUUGCCUUCGUAAGGCAAUUUGAGUUUCUCCUAAAGAAAAACCAUCGUAUGGAUAAGGAUGAGGAUCAUCUCUCCGUUCAAUAUUUCAUCAACAACACACCCAAACAAUUUAUGGAAAAAAAGGGUUAUGGUGGGAUCAUGGACAUUACGUGUCUACCAUCAGUUUUGUUGGAUCAUGGCACAGUCUUGGAGAAACACUGUCCACUAUCUGAGACCCUUCAAGUUACAAGAUUUAAUGCUGAUGUGAGUCCAAUCAUUUCUCAUUUUAAUCUUUUUUCACUUUUUCAGACUUGAUUUAUAACUUUUUAUAUUUUCAGGAAGGUGUCACUGUUUACAAACCUAGCAAAGUCCGAGUGCGCUCCUUGUAUGACAAAGAGUUUAAAGAUGAUGUAGAUCGUUUCCAUCGUUUUCAUGGAAGUCUUAUUCAUCAGAUUGAAGUAGGAUGCGCCACUGCAAGAAUACCUAUCUAUCCAAGCUAUUAUAAACUUAAAGGAAAGGUGAUCAGUUUUCACUUGUUUUUAUUAUUAUUUAUUAUUAUUAUAUAUAUUGCCGUUUAACUAAUGUUUGUUUUGGAGCAGGAAAUUUAUUGUCCAAGCAAAGCAGAGUUGAAGAAAGACGAACUACAUGGGCAUAUUGUCCUUUUCACGGGAUAUAGUUGUGAUGAAUAUAAUAAAGUCUACUAUCAGUUCCAAGAGACAGCUGGAACAUCAGUGGGAGAUGAAGGUUAUCACUACGUUUAUGCCGACUUCGUCGAAGUGUAUGUAGAGAUGGCGCUGUGAGGUAAUACUCUUUGCUUACUCUGCAGAAUUUCUUCUGUUAUCUAAUUUCCUGUUUGUGUUCAUCUCUUUAUAUAUUUCUUUAGCGGUUCUGUUCUCUCGUGUUGGUUAUUUACCUAUCUGUCUUGUUUCCUGUUGGUUUCAUAUUCUCCACUGUUUCAGUACUGUUCUUGUUAUACUCCUCAGAUGGAGGCGUUAGUUGAUACAGUUCUCUCUCGUGCUAAUUAGUAGUCCUCCAAUGUAUGUUUAGUGGUUAUGCCAUUCACUACUGUAUAUCUAGUAAGAAUUAUAUUAUGUUCAUCUCUGUCUGUUUGUUAAUUGGUAGUCCUGUUUAGUUAUGCUGAUUUGUUGUCUGAUGUUAGUGUGAGUUCAUAACUGUUUCUAUUAUUCCUUUAUCUACUGCUUCUGUUAUACCAUUUAUGUUUGAACGAUUAACUUGAAUUUUGCAGGACAGGUUGCUGCUGACGGAUAUGGUAUACAAAUAACUACAAUAAUGGAAGUUUGAAGUGGAAUAAGUGAAUAACUUGGGAGACUUGUUAAUAUGUCGUGGAAGUUUGAAGUAUUAAUAAUUUGGAAGACUUGUAGCUGUCGUGAUUGAUAUAACCGACCUCUUAUAUGGUUUAAUAGAUCUUUGAAAUAGAAUAAACUUGAAUGACUUUGUCAAUAUGGUCGUGUCUGAUAUAACCGACCUUAUAUGGUUUAAUAGAUCUUUGAAAUAGAAUAAACUUGAAUGACUUUGUCAAUAUGGUCGUGUCUGAUACAACCGACCUUAUAUGGUUUACAAAUAAAUGAAGUAAAAUAAUUUGGAAGAGUUUGUUAUUACCCAACUUUUUAACUUAUGCAUUUUUCUAACAAAACUAGUUUCUCCAUGUCACACUUGGAGAGAGAAAUUUCUCGACUCUUUGGUUACUUAAAUUUCUCUGUCACUCUCUCUCAGUUUUCUAUCUAAAUAUUUUAUAUCCAAGCAAUUGUUAGUGAUUAUAUUUUCAAACACAAGUGUUGUAUCAAACUAAUCUACGUAAACUAGUUAACUGUCAAAGUACUAAUCUAUGUAUAUAAUAUAUACAUCGAUUCAAAUAUAAACAUUAAAUUUUUUUUAUAAACACAAUUUCGAGUGGAAAUCGGACAUGAAAGGGACAGAGUACUAAAUGUCGUUUUGGAAAUUGUAAACUGAUAGAUAUCGAUCGUUGGACCUUAUGACCCUCAUAAAAGUUUUAAGUGUAUUGUUAAGUUUUGUGACUUGGAAUCAGUCCAUAUAUAAACAGCAAGUAAACAAUAUAUACAUAUCAUUUGUUAUAUAUAAAGCUUCAGAAUUCCAAACAAAGACAAAAAGAGAAACUAAAGGGAUUCUCGUCUAGCAAAAGUCCUCGCAAUGUUGCGAAUUGAUUCUUUAUGUUAUACAAAACUGAUUUUCCUCUGAAUAGAUUGGUGUUAUAUCAGAUAUUAAUAAUUUAGAUUUCUGAAAAAGAAAUAAACCCUAAAAGCCAAAAGUAUUUGGCCACGCGCCUGACAAGUCAAACUUUCCAAAUAUAGAACGGUGUCUUAUUAUAUGCCCAUAUGGAUAUUUUGCAUCAAAGAAAAUCUACGAAAAUAUCGGAGGGUGGAGCUCAUGCGCUAUAACCAGCUACUCACAUUCGAUUUACAACAUUAUGCCCAUUAAAUUAAUUCACAAUCAUACAGACCCAUCAAGGGAUCCAAUAAACAGAGAGAAAGUUCAACGACAACACACGCACAGCCUUAAUCAUAAACCAUAUGAAAGGUAUAUUCUAUUGAUUCCAUGGUCGAUGAAGAGCCUGACGAAAUCUUUGACAAAGAGGGAAACGGUGAAAGAAUUAAUCAAAAGUGAAUAGUUUCAGCAUAUGGUAAGAAUCUCUGAACCAGUUCUAGUUAUCAGAAUUGUAUGUUCAAACUGUGCGGCUACACCACCAUCAGCUGUUAGAGUUGUCCAGUUGUCAGAAUCGGUUCUGCAAACGCAAAUUGU